rnacentral:rRNA from 1 species
GACGAACCGUGCGAACGUUAUUCGGAAUCACUGGGCUUAAAGCGCGUGUAGGCGGGUGGGAACGUCGGCCGCUGAAAUCCCCCGGCUCAACCGGGGAAGGGCGCCGAAACGGCCCGCCUGGAGGGACGUAGGGGGAGCUGGAACUUCCGGUGGAGCGGUGAAAUGCGUUGAGAUCGGAAGGAACGCCCGUGGCGAAAGCGAGCUCCUGGACGUUUUCUGACGCUGAGACGCGAAAAGCCAGGGGAGCGAACGGG